rnacentral:rRNA from 1 species
AACGAACGCUGGCGGCAGGCUUAACACAUGCAAGUCGAACGAGAUCUUCGGAUCUAGUGGCAGACGGGUGAGGAACACGUGGGAACAUCCCUUUCAGUUCGGAAUAACGUUGGGAAACUAACGCUAAUACCGGAUACGUCCUUCGGGAGCAAGAUUUAUCGCUGAAAGAUUGGCCCGCGUCUGAUUAGCUAGUUGGUGAGGUAAUGGCUCACCAAGGCUACGAUCAGUAGCUGAUCUGAGAGGAUGAUCAGCCACAUUGGGACUGAGACACGGCCCAAACUCCUACGGGAGGCAGCAGUGGGGAAUAUUGGACAAUGGGCGCAAGCCUGAUCCAGCCAUGCCGCGUGAGUGAUGAAGGCCUUCGGGUUGUAAAGCUCUUUUAUCCGGGAAGAUAAUGACUGUACCGGAAGAAUAAGCCCCGGCAAACUUCGUGCCAGCCGCCGCGGUAA